GUUCUGUAGAUCUGAAGAAUUUGGAAGUGCUGACGGCACAGCACAAGAUGGAAUCAGAAUCUUGUAGGCAGAGUCAGGGCAAGUCCCUCAGAUCCUCUUCAAGUUACAGCAAAGAUCCUGGAGGAUUUUCAGUGGGAGUGCGACCAGGAACUCCUGGAGAGAGCUUCUGCUGCUCCCCAAGUGAAAAGGAGCCCCAAGAAGAGGGCAGGAAAAGAACAGAAUGUAGUCGCUCCGUGCUCGCCUACAGUGAGGACAGCCAUUUACUUCACAGCCCUUGAGCACCUGAACCAAGCCUGCACAUGGUGCUCCGUCCCCUCCGUAUGAACCCCUACUCCCAAGUGGUCUGAAGAUAAUUUCAGAUGAGGUCUGUGCCCUACUAACUGUACUGUAUAAACCCGGAUACCUGUGGCACGAGAGCCUGAGGGAGAGAACGAUGACCUCCAGGUGAAGAGAGCAUUUUUGAAGCUGUGGGUGGACUGAGCAGACAUUUUCUUCUGCCCUGAAGGCCAGCCUGAAGAGCUGUUGAGAAAUGACCUGGGUCGACGCAACGGUUCCCCCUUCCCAUCUGCGCAGUAUCGCAUUGUUCCUUCAGGCCAGGAAGCCUGACACCCAGUAAAUCGGUAGAAAGUCAGAAUGGCAAGGGGAGAAGCUGUCGGCAGUUCGGACACAGGAUAUUAGGGAAGGGACUGAAUGUCAGAGCUCUGACCGAGGGACACAUCACAAAUGAGUCAAUUUUUAUUACAGUGUUUGUCCUGACGUGUUUGAAAUAUAGCUAACCGUCCAACUCUAUGGCACUUGAAAGAUUUUGGCCUGACAGUUCCAGAGCCCUUCAAUAUGGGUGGCAUUUCAUUUAGAAAAAAAUAUAUGACCAUUGGCAGAGGAGGUAUAAAGCUGAAAGAGAUCCAAGUGACAGUUAGGCAAAGCUCUCUUGGCCUUUUUCUCAACCUCAGAAGGAACUGUUAAGGUGAAAUCAUACUGUGUUUGCAGUCUUACUUGAUCUCCUGGAGAGAGGAAGGGGGCGGCAGGGGCAAAACAUUGAAUUACACACAGACCAUCUGGGUUCAGCUAGGUGACAGAACAAGGGUACGAGGGGCUUAACCUCUCUCCCAGUUAUUUUCGCCCUGCCACCUCAUCGACAGCACAGGGUUGGUUUGAAAGUCAGCUGAGAAAAAAGUGGACGCGCCUGAAAAUGGGAAGAAUAUAAUAUAUAAUAUAAAGGCUUAUUGUUUGUCAUUACUGAAGGCCAAUGGCAGCAAUUUUUUUCAGUAAAAGGAUAGAUAGUAGACAAUAUUGGUGCUCUUUUUUUUUGGCCUUAUUUGUUACUAUUACUGCCUUUAACCACUAAUGAAAGGGUUAAAACAGUCUCAGUCCAUAAGUCUUAUGAAGCAAGCCACUGGACAGUCUUGACUUGCAGGCUGCAGAUUGCUCACCUCUGGCCCAGGUUAUUAACAUAGCUGGGAACUGGUUAUCUACCCCCUUCAUAUCUGGAAUAUUCCCUUUGUCAGAAAAUCUACCAUCUCACCUGUGCAAGCAGCAGAGUGCCCUGAAUCUUUACACAUCUCCUGGGCUAAAAUUCACAUGAAGUCUAUAAAUACUUGAGUGAAAUGCUUUAUGAAUCCUAUCACUUUGUACAAGGAAA